CCCCGAACUCUGGGAUAAGCGCUGGAAACGGCGUCUAAUACUGGAUAUGUCCUAUCACCGCAUGGUGUGUAGGUGGAAAGAAUUUUGGUUCGGGAUGGACUCGCGGCCUAUCAGCUAGAUGGUGAGGUAAUGGCUCACCAUGGCGACGACGGGUAGCCGGCCUGAGAGGGUGACCGGCCACACUGGGACUGAGACACGGCCCAGACUCCUACGGGAGGCAGCAGUGGGGAAUAUUGCACAAUGGGCGCAAGCCUGAUGCAGCAACGCCGCGUGAGGGAUGACGGCCUUCGGGUUGUAAACCUCUUUUAGUAGGGAAGAAGCGAAAGUGACGGUACCUGCAGAAAAAGCACCGGCUAACUACGUGCCAGCAGCCGCGGUAAUACGUAGGGUGCAAGCGUUGUCCGGAAUUAUUGGGCGUAAAGAGCUCGUAGGCGGCUUGUCGCGUCUGCUGUGAAAACCAGAGGCUCAACCUCUGGCCUGCAGUGGGUACGGGCAAGCUAGAGUGCGGUAGGGGAGAUUGGAAUUCCUGGUGUAGCGGUGGAAUGCGCAGAUAUCAGGAGGAACACCGAUGGCGAAGGCAGAUCUCUGGGCCGUAACUGACGCUGAGGAGCGAAAGCAUGGGGAGCGAACAGGAUUAGAUACCCUGGUAGUCCAUGCCGUAAACGUUGGGAACUAGAUGUAGGGCCUGUUCCACGGGUUCUGUGUCGUAGCUAACGCAUUAAGUUCCCCGCCUGGGGAGUACGGCCGCAA
rnacentral:rRNA from 1 species